UAAAAUUCAUCCAACUCUCAUCCUUAAGCUUCUCUCUCUAAAACCUACGAAUUAUUGUAGCAUAUCAGUCCCUAAACAAAGCCCAACCAUCACAAACAACAAAUCAGAAGCAUCAAGAAGCCAGAAAUCAAAAAUCAAGCUUGAAAAGGUAGGAAAUCCUAAAUUCUAGAAAUCCUUCGAUUCGAUGUUAAUUGAUGCAAUUGAUUGUUUAAAGUAGUGUAAUAGAGAGUCUAUUAAUGUUCUGGGUUGUAAAAUCAUGAACCCAUAACAUCAAAGUGCACGAAUUUGAAGAUUUAAACAAGUUGGAAAAACCGAAUUCUGUUAUUUUUCACCAAAUGUCAGAGGCUAUAAAUCUUUGGUCGAUCUCGAGUUUUGUUUUUUAAAAGUUGUUAUAGGUAGCCUGAUAUGUGGUCUUUAAUCUCCAAAAGGAAUAAAGUUCAUAGCUAUUGUAGAUCGGGAUUUAUAAGCGGUCAAAGUGGGUUGACCGGCAUUGACCGGCUGUUCUUCAAACCCAGAAAAUAUUCUAAGUGUCCAGAAAAUAUUAUUUUGGAAAAUGUCAGGCCUUAUAUCUCGGUUAUCUUUAAUGUGUUUUGUGUUCUAAAGGUUGAUAUGUGUAUCUUGUUAUGUGGUAUUUAACCUCCAAAAAGAAUCAGGUCCAUAUAUAUUACGGAUUAAGAGUUAUUUAAGGUCAAAGUGGGUUGACCGGCAUUGACCAGAAAAUUCUGGGCAGCCCAGAAUUUUCUAAGUGUUAAUUUUUCUGACAAGGUUUGACCAUACUUUAGAUGCUUGAUUUCUUGUUUUUAUGAUGAUGUUAAGUGUUAGAGUUGUAGUCCUACAUGUUGUCUACACACUGGAAUUGAUAGAUCACAUAAACGUUACACGAUCAUCAAGUUAUAGAGGUCCAAAGUAGGCACCUCGAACUGUUCUUCGUGAAGAACAGCUUUGGUAGCUACUUUGAUGGCUGAUUUAUCCCAGAUCUGAUGUUUGUUUAGAGGUUAUGAUUGUUGGAUCUUGUAGUCUUGUAUUUCCUCUACAAGACCCAAUUUAUAGAUUGUCCAAAUUCGUUAAGAUGAGAGAGUUAUUCACGGUCAAAGUAGGCCACUCGGUUCUGCCUUAUGAAGAUCUGGGUAGGCUCAAGAACACCUAUAGCGACACUUCUGUCACUAUAGGGGCCUUUAGCGACAGUUUUAAUUAUUUUAAUUUCUGAUUUUCCGAAAAAUGAUUUAAAAAUUAGAAAAAUUAGAUUUUAAUUAUUAAAAAUACCAAAUAAAUUAUGAAAAAUUAUUUUAAAGUCUGAAAAAUAGUUUUUAAUUAUUUUGAGUAUAUUUCAUAAAUAUUUAAUAUUUUUGGAAUAUAAAAGGUAUUUAUUUAUUUAAUUAUAAUAUUAAAUAAAUGAUUUAAAAAUAGUUUUAAUUCAUGAAAAAUCAUGAAAAAUUAUAUUAUGGUAUAAGAAAAUAUUUUAAGUUAUUUCCCAUGACUUUUAAUAUUUUGUGAUGAAUUUCAUUAAUUAAUUAUAUAUUAAUGAUAUUAAAGUUAUUUAAUGAUUAUAUUAAAUAAUUUAGUUUAAAAAUGAUUUUAAUAUUAUAAAAAUCAUUUUAAAUGAAAUUAAGGUAUUUAAAAAUAUUUUAAGUUAUAAAAUAUAACUUUUAAUAUUUAAAGGAUAAUUUCAUUAAUAAUUUAAUAUUAAUGAUAUUAAGAUAAUAUUAAUGAUAUUUAGUUUAUUUAAUAAUUAUUAUUAAAUAAAUAGUUUAAAAAUGGUUUUAUUUAUUUAAAAAUCAUUUAAAGAGGAUAUUAAGGAUUUAAAAAUAUUUUAAGUUAUAAUUAAUGACUUUUAAUAUUUGGAUGAAUAGUACAUUAAUAUUUAUAUAUUAAUGGUGAUUAUUUAAAAAUGAUUUUAAUUGUUUUAAAAAUCAUUUAAGGGUAAUAUAAAUGUUUUAAAAAUAGUUUGAGUUAUUAUAAAUAACUUUUAUAUUUUGGCAAUGGUUUCAUUAAUAGUUUAAUAUAAAUUAAUUAUUAAUGAUAAUGGAAUUGUUUAAUGUUUAAAUCAUUUAAUUAUGAUUCCGAUGUUUGAAAGUUAUAGCCGGCCAAACUAGCUGACUUGAGAACCGAUUAUGAAGUUAUGAAGUUUUGAGGAACACCUAUAGUAACAGUUAUAUCACUAUAGGCCCGGUAGUGACAGAUUUGAAUUAUUUUAAAUUUUUCAAUUUCUGGAAAAUUCGAAAAUGAUUAAAAAUAAAAUGUUUGAUAUUUACAGAUGUUGAGGUAUAGGAUAAGAGUCUUAGACUCAGUAUUUACCCGAUAAAGCUGUCGGUACGCCGACAAAUGUCAGACCCUAUAAUAGAAAGAAAAGACUUCUGUAAGAGCAUGGAUGAGAUAUUUGAAAAAUGUAUAAAAAUAUUUCAAGUAUAGAAUAUGAACUAAAAGUAUGAUCACUGCGAUUAUGUGAUGACGUGAUUAGACUAUGUGCUGACUGUAAUAGACAGUACUAUGUGUUAUGAUAUAUUGUUCUAAUCGAACGAAUGAUCUGAUUAUUGAUAGGUUGUGAUAAAGAGAUAAAACCUAAGUUGAGAUUUGUAAUCAGCGAAUCAGGCAAGUAUCUUACCUUUGCAUUUCCUUUAUGCAAUGGACAUGAGUAAGAAGUUUCAGAAUUAUUCUAUUCCUGUACAGAUUAUGUACGCUUUGAUUAUCAACAUGUUAGCUCAGAUAUAUAUUCUGUUAAGUUGAUUUCUAAAUGGUUAUACAAGUGUCCCCACUUGGAUAAUCAUGGCAUUUAUUCACAUGUUGAUAUACCUUUGUCAAUUACCCGUAUACAUAUAUGUUGAAUUACAUAUUAUUGUUGAGCAAGAUUAAAAACCUUCGGGUUUGGAACCAGGCAUGUAUGAACAUCCCGAUAAUGGGAAAAUUUUUAUGCGCUUCGGCGGACAAAGGGUGAGCGAUGAAUUUCGUUCAAGUUAUGUAGUAUUGAUCAAUACAGGGUACAACGGGGCUGAUCACCCUCCGUGCCCGUAAGUUAUGACGGUUUGCGGAUGAAUUUCUGCUAAACCUUUUCGAAAAUGAAAAACAAUGUUCAUAGUAUGUUUCUUAAACCCUAUUCAUGGGUGGAGCCUAAUUUCAAGAAAUUGAAAGAGAGUUGUUAUGUGAAUCUUUUAUCAGUACAGAUUACUUCACAACUUUUGAUUCGUUGUAGAAGUGUUAUGUAAAGAGAAUACUUAUAUUCUUUCAGCUUAUAUAUAUAAUUGCUAUUACUUGCUGGGCACUCAAAUGCUCAUCCUUGCUUAAAUUAAAUGUUUUCAGUUAUGUAUGAGCAAUCUGAAGGCUCAGGCACGAACAAGGGGAAAGGAAAGCUGAUCGAAUGAGUUUAUAUUAUGAGUUAAUGGUUAUAGUUAGUAAGACAAUGGGAUCUAUUGUCAGGUAUUGUAAGGAAUGUAUUUGAAGGUCACGUACCUGGGGAAGUAAACUUUGAUGUAUGUAAAUUAAGUUCGAAUGUAUUAUUAUUUAGUAUUAUUCAGCUUAAAGAAAUGGUAUCGUGGAGAACCGAGUUCGGGUUUCAAGUACCUGGAUUUGGGGUCGCCACAAUAUUGACCAAUCGGGUAAUUAACUGGAUAAAUGAGCAAUUAAUUGCUAUUGAUUCACAUGAUUAUAACUAUUUGUUCAAAUGUGUGUACUAUUGAUUCACAUGAUUUACUAUUAGGGGAGGUGGUGCAAGUUUGAUAAUACUUGCAGGACUAAAUUAAAAAUGAAGGAAGAUGAAGGUAUUAUACUGUAAUAUUUCGAGCUCCAAAAC
rnacentral:lncRNA from 1 species